rnacentral:rRNA from 1 species
UGCAGUCGAACGAUGAAGCCGCUUCGGUGGUGGAUUAGUGGCGAACGGGUGAGUAACACGUGGGCAAUCUGCCCUGCACUCUGGGACAAGCCCUGGAAACGGGGUCUAAUACCGGAUACGACACAGGAAGGCAUCUUCUCUGUGUGGAAAGCUCCGGCGGUGCAGGAUGAGCCCGCGGCCUAUCAGCUUGUUGGUGGGGUGAUGGCCUACCAAGGCGACGACGGGUAGCCGGCCUGAGAGGGCGACCGGCCACACUGGGACUGAGACACGGCCCAGACUCCUACGGGAGGCAGCAGUGGGGAAUAUUGCACAAUGGGCGAAAGCCUGAUGCAGCGACGCCGCGUGAGGGAUGACGGCCUUCGGGUUGUAAACCUCUUUCAGCAGGGAAGAAGCGCAAGUGACGGUACCUGCAGAAGAAGCACCGGCUAACUACGUGCCAGCAGCCGCGGUAAUACGUAGGGUGCGAGCGUUGUCCGGAAUUAUUGGGCGUAAAGAGCUCGUAGGCGGCUUGUCACGUCGGAUGUGAAAGCCCGGGGCUUAACCCCGGGUCUGCAUUCGAUACGGGCAGGCUAGAGUUCGGUAGGGGAGAUCGGAAUUCCUGGUGUAGCGGUGAAAUGCGCAGAUAUCAGGAGGAACACCGGUGGCGAAGGCGGAUCUCUGGGCCGAUACUGACGCUGAGGAGCGAAAGCGUGGGGAGCGAACAGGAUUAGAUACCCUGGUAGUCCACGCCGUAAACGUUGGGAACUAGGUGUGGGCGACAUUCCACGUCGUCCGUGCCG